CCUACUACCCUUGAGGCAAGACGAUUCUCCAGAGACUUCGAGGUUACUUCAAAUGGUGCUGGAGAUAGUCAAUCACAAUGGCUGAAAUACACACUUGAAAGUAGUGAAAGCAAAUGGUGCAUUGCUGUCAGAAUUCAUCCAUUGAUAGCUUGCGAAGAAGAUACUACUCUAACGGAACUAAAGCAUAAAUUACAGUCUUUACAUGACGU